CACGUGCUUGCUUUUUAGUUGCACGUGUUUUUCAUUUACUUAGUUAGUUAUCUGUUAUUAAGCUGUUUUAAUUUUUCCACAUGUAUAAAGAAGACUGGCAGUAAUUCUUUCAAGUUGGGUUAGUUAGUUAAAACUAUAAUGAGCUAUAUUAACUAGCUCAAAACCUCUUUUUGUUUCUAAGUAAUCAUUUUUGUCAUUUUUCUAUUGAAAAGAACUCUCUGGUUUUCUGUUUCAUUUUCUCAGCUUUUCUUUGUCUUUCCUUCCUACCAAACGCUAACCUUCAAAGCCUAAGGCCUUUUUUUUUUUUUUUAACUUUGUCAUGGUAUUAGAGCCUUAUUCCAUGGCGGAACUACACAAUCCAAUCCUAACUGUUUCUCCGUUUCCAAACAAUAUCAUCAAACUUGAUGAUUCUAAUUUUUUCAUUUGGAAAUCAUAAAUUUUACCUGUUAUCAAAGGUCAUAGGUUCCUUAAGUUUCUGCAAUUCCUUUCUUAUGAAGAUUAUUUGAAAGAUCAGAGAUCUGAUUCCGCUCAACCCGAAACAAUUUCACCAAGCUCAUCGACUAGUUCCGAUCAACUGAAUAAAGAAGAUUGGGACAUUCAGGACCAAUUUCUUGUUGGAUGACUGCGAAGCACAAUUGAGAAAGAAGUUUUAGGGCAUUUCAAUGGAAAAGAUACCUCAUUCAGUCUAUGGAAUGCUAUUUCUAAUAGGUAUGCUGCUCAAUCUCCUACUAGAAUCUUCCAUUACAGAUAGUUGAUUCAAAGUACCAAGAAGCAUGGUCUUACCGUAGAUGCCUAUGUACUGAAAAUGAAAAAUCUAGCUGAUAAGCUAGUAGUUGCUAGUGAUACUGUUACUGAGAGAGAUUUAGUGUUAUAUAUCCUUAGGGGAUUAGGAUAUGAUUUUAAGUCAAUUUCCACUGUUUUACAAGUUAGACCCAAGCAGCAUACAUUGGAUGAAAUUCAACAUCAUCUUUUAUCCUUUGAAGCUCAACUUGAGGAGGAAAAUAUUGCUCUUAACUAUGAAGUGUCAUACAAGGCUGCUCACAUUGCUUGUGAUUCUGGUAUGGUCUCAAAAAAUUGUGUUGAUACCAAAUUUGGUGCUAGUCGUGGAUCUAAUAAUGAUUAUAGUUCUUCUGGUGGUUUUCAUAACAAUGGUGGUUUUCAUAACCAGUUUCAAGCUUUUCAGAGUCCAAAUCAAUAUCAUGUUGCUGGUUUUCAUGAGCCAACCUUUGAAAGUCAUGUUUUUAAUGCUGUCCAGCAAAUCCUUGGUAGAGGAAGAGGUAGAGGUAGGAAUUUUGGUAGAGGAGGUGGUAGAAAUUCUAAGCCCACUUGCCAGAUUUGUCAAACUUAUGGUCAUUUAGCUGCUUAUUGCUACGAGAGGUUUGAUAGUCAAUACGUGGGAAAUACCAAUGCCAAUUCUGGUUCUAACUCAAAUUUUCAGUUUAAUACUCAGUAGCUUGUUCCUUAUGAAUUUCAUAGACAAUAGCAAGCUAUUAAUCAGCCAUUUGAAGUCAACAUUAAUCCUUAGCAGGUUGUUCUUUCUCAAUUUCAUUGCCCACAGCAGGCUAUCAAUCAGCCGUUUGAAGUUCAAUCUCAGAAUUCACCUUUUCCUUUCCCUGCUUCACAUCUUCCAAUUCCUCGAUCACAGGCCUACAGUAACGGUAACAACCUUCCUCCAUCAGUGGUUUCCUCUGGUUAUAACAAGGAUUUGCCUACUUACUCGCAACCUUCAAACUCUCAGAUUCAAGGACACUUGAUCUACACUAAUGAUGCUUCUAUCCAAUGACUCUUGCUGAUUUUUCAUGAUAUCUUGGCAGUGGAGUAACGAAUCAUGUUGUAGCUGAUGGCACCUCCUUACUUAAUCAAGUUGAAUAUAAGGGGCCCAAUAAGCUGAUGGUUGGAAGUGGAGCACACAUGGACAUUACACAUAUUGGAUCAUCAAGGGAAGCCAAUUCUUAAAGGAGUAAGAGAAUGAGGGCUUUAUAAGCUGUUACUUCUUUCAUCUCUAGCUUCCAAGCACAACAUCAUCUUAGCCACUGGUCUCAACUCAGCCAAAACACCAAGUUUUUCUUCCAGCCAUAAUUCUUUGUUACAGUCUUCUUUUUCUUAAAAUAAUGAUCAUUUAGUUAGUUCUGCUGUUCAAUGUCAUAACUCGAAUUUUGAUGUUCCUGUGUUUUCUUCUUGUAUCUCAACUUCAGUUUCCCCUUGUAUUUCAAUUUCCACUUAUAAAUGUUCUAGUUCAUAUUCAUGUUUGAAUCAUGAUAACAAUGUUUGUUCUUCUAGUUCUUGUAUUUCAGCUAUUGUACCCACUUUUUCUGAAAAUAAUAAUAAUAAAGGCACACCAGUUAGCAAUUUUUCUUC